GUAACGGCGAGUGAAGCGGCAAGAGCUCAAAUUUGAAAUCUGGUACUUUCAGUGCCCGAGUUGUAAUUUGAAGAUUGUACUCUGGAGUUGGCCCUUAUCUAUGUUCCUUGGAACAGGACGUCACAGAGGGUGAGAAUCCCGUGCGAUGGGGAGCCCGAUUCCAUGUAGAGUGCUCUCGAAGAGUCGAGUUGUUUGGGAAUGCAGCUCUAAGUGGGUGGUAAAUUCCAUCUAAAGCUAAAUAUUGGCGAGAGACCGAUAGCGAACAAGUACAGUGAUGGAAAGAUGAAAAGAACUUUGAAAAGAGAGUGAAAAAGUACGUGAAAUUGUUGAAAGGGAAGGUUAUUAGAUCAGACUUGGUGUUUGGCGAUAUUCAGUCUCUCGUAGACUGUUCACUCGCCCUUCACUGGGCCAGCAUCGGUUUGGGUGGCAGGAUAAUGGCUGUUGAACGUGGCUUCUCCGGAAGUGUUAUAGCUUCAGCUGAUACUGCCUACCUAGACCGAGGACUGCGGCUUCUGCCUAGGAUGCUGGCGUAAUGAUCUAAUAUCGCCCGUCUUGAAACACGGACCAAGGAGUCUAACGUCUAUGCGAGUGUUUGGGUGUAAAACCCGUACGCGUAAUGAAAGUGAACGUAGGUCAGAGCUUUUUU
rnacentral:rRNA from 1 species